rnacentral:rRNA from 1 species
GAUGAACGCUGGCGGCGUGCCUAAUACAUGCAAGUCGAGCGAACAGAUAAGGAGCUUGCUCCUUUGACGUUAGCGGCGGACGGGUGAGUAACACGUGGAUAACCUACCUAUAAGACUGGGAUAACUUCGGGAAACCGGAGCUAAUACCGGAUAACAUAUUGAACCGCAUGGUUCAGUAGUGAAAGGCGGCUUUGCUGUCACUUAUAGAUGGAUCCGCGCCGUAUUAGCUAGUUGGUAAGGUAACGGCUUACCAAGGCAACGAUACGUAGCCGACCUGAGAGGGUGAUCGGCCACACUGGAACUGAGACACGGUCCAGACUCCUACGGGAGGCAGCAGUCGGGAAUCUUCCGCAAUGGGCGAAAGCCUGACGCAGCAACGCCGCGUGAGUGAUGAAGGUCUUCGGAUCGUAAAACUCUGUUAUCAGGGAAGAACAAAUGUGUAAGUAACUGUGCACAUCUUGACGGUACCUGAUCAGAAAGCCCCGGCUAACUACGUG